rnacentral:misc_RNA from 1 species
UCUCCGUUGGUGAACCAGCGGAGGGAUCAUUACCGAAUCAUUCUACUCCCAAACCCCUGUGAACUUAUACCUUUACUGUUGCUUCGGCGGGUUAACGCCCCGGAAGGCCCGCGCGGGCCGCCGGAACCAGGCGCCCGCCGGGGGACCCAAACUCUUGUAUCUUUUUUAUAGCAUGUCUGAGUGGAAUCAUAAACAAAUGAAUCAAAACUUUCAACAACGGAUCUCUUGGUUCUG